AAAGGAGGUGACAGAAUGGUAAUGUAGUUAGCUUGAAACUAAUUUAUGGGGGUUCGAUUCCUUCCUUCCUUG
rnacentral:tRNA from 1 species